rnacentral:sRNA from 1 species
UGCCUAAACUCAAAAACAACUUUAGGCAUGGCAUGUAAGUCCUCUACAGCACAGAGAUGGUCUCCUGGCCAAUCUUGCUGUAGAGGCCCGUAUCCGAAAGGAUGUGGCAGUCCGAAAGGGCUG